AGUGAACGCUGGCGGUAGGCCUAACACAUGCAAGUCGAGCGGCAGCACAGUAAGAGCUUGCUCUUACGGGUGGCGAGUGGCGGACGGGUGAGGAAUACAUCGGAAUCUACUUUUUCGUGGGGGAUAACGUAGGGAAACUUACGCUAAUACCGCAUACGACCUACGGGUGAAAGCAGGGGAUCUUCGGACCUUGCGCGAUUGAAUGAGCCGAUGUCGGAUUGGCUAGUUGGCGGGGUAAGGGCCCACCAAGGCGACGAUCCGUAGCUGGUCUGAGAGGAUGAUCAGCCACACUGGAACUGAGACACGGUCCAGACUCCUACGGGAGGCAGCAGUGGGGAAUAUUGGACAAUGGGCGCAAGCCUGAUCCAGCCAUACCGCGUGGGUGAAGAAGGCCUUCGGGUUGUAAAGCCCUUUUGUUGGGAAAGAAAAGCAGCAGGUUAAUACCCCGCUGUUCUGACGGUACCCAAAGAAUAAGCACCGGCUAACUUCGUG
rnacentral:rRNA from 1 species